AUUGAACGCUGGCGGCAGGCCUAACACAUGCAAGUCGAACGGUAACAGGAAACAGCUUGCUGUUUCGCUGACGAGUGGCGGACGGGUGAGUAAUGUCUGGGAAACUGCCUGAUGGAGGGGGAUAACUACUGGAAACGGUAGCUAAUACCGCAUAACGUCGCAAGACCAAAGAGGGGGACCCUCGGGCCUCUUGCCAUCGGAUGUGCCCAGAUGGGAUUAGCUUGUUGGUGGGGUAACGGCUCACCAAGGCGACGAUCCCUAGCUGGUCUGAGAGGAUGACCAGCCACACUGGAACUUAGACACGGUCCAGACUCCUACGGGAGGCAGCAGUGGGGAAUAUUGCACAAUGGGCGCAAGCCUGAUGCAGCCAUGCCGCGUGUAUGAAGAAGGCCUUCGGGUUGUAAAGUACUUUCAGCGGGGAGGAAGGGAGUAAAGUUAAUACCUUUGCUCAUUGACGUUACCCGCAGAAGAAGCACCGGCUAACUCCGUG
rnacentral:rRNA from 1 species